AAUCUGUCCCUCGGGGUAUCAGUCAACCCUUACCAGUGCAACUUAGAGGGAGAAUACAGGAAGAAUGCAUAGUAGACGAUCAUCAGGAUAAAAUUUUAGGGUCCAAAGUGGAAACACUGAGGGUUCAGCUAGCAGAUUUGUUCAAGACGGUAGAAAGGUGUCAGAAUAAUCUUUCCAAGUGCACUCCUCAUGAAGCAGGAAUACAGUCCUAAAGCUUCUUCCCCGAUA
rnacentral:lncRNA from 1 species